rfam:Dichanthelium oligosanthes cultivar Kellogg 1175 unplaced genomic scaffold Do_version_2_scaffold8323, whole genome shotgun sequence.
UGGUUUUGUCUGAAGUCAAACUUUCUUAAGUUUGACCAAAUUUAUAUAAAAGAUUAUCAAUUUUUAUGAUACCAAAUAAACAUACUAUGAAAAUAUAUUUCAUCAUGAACCUAAUGAUACUUAUUUGGUUUCAUAAAAGAUAGUAAUUUUUUGUAUAAAKUUGGUCAAACUUAAAAAAGUUUGACUUCAGACAAAAUUAA